rnacentral:lncRNA from 1 species
UAAGUGUGUGUAUGAAUAUAUGUACGUGAGAAUGCAUGUGUAAUAAGUUACAAUGAUCAGUCCAGUGUCUGUUUACUGUCCAUCUAUCUUAUUCUCUCCAUGUGUGUGUGUGUAUCGAUGGAUGGAUGGGUGGCUGUGCCAAUCUGUCACAUACAUUUACUCAGGUUUCAAUGAAAGCUGAAGACUUAAGGAAAACGUGUAUGGCAUACCAGUAGCCUGGAGUCUAUAAAAUAAAGUAUCAAGCAAGUAUUUAGAUCAAUUUAAUGGGCUAUACCCAAUUCUAAAAUGUGGUCUUCUGCCAAAGUCAUAAAUCAAUUGAAAGAAUCCUUGAAAUAUCUAUGAAAUUGAAAUCUUUAUUUUUUUUCCUAAGGGGUAUAACUCUUAAUGCAUAUUUACAAACCCUGAUGUCUACGACAGCCAAGGUUACGAUCGGCUUAUCAGUGAUAUUCACAGCCUCAAUAGUUACUUAUGUACAUCUUUCACAAAUUUUGGAUAGAAAGAAAAUGAAGGCUGGCAUUUUGAAUGAUAUGAAUAAGGAACAGAAGAAAAUUCAAAAUCUGAAAAUGUUGCAAACACAGGCAGAACUGAAAAGAGCCUAUGAACGAGAGGCUAAAAAUGCAGAGAGCUGAAUAAAUUAAACAUUUACAUUUGGAUUAAGUAAUUAUGUAAUUUUAACAGGUCACAAAUCUUGACAGAGGAGUGAGUUAAAUCAAAUUAGUAUGUACCUAUUGAUCUUGGAAAUAUUGAACUCAGACUGAAUAAGGAUGUAACUAAAUAUCACAAGGCAUUUUGUUUGCCAUACUACUGA